rnacentral:rRNA from 1 species
UGGGGAAUCUUCCGCAAUGGACGAAAGUCUGACGGAGCAACGCCGCGUGAGUGAUGACGGUCUUCGGAUUGUAAAGCUCUGUUAAUCGGGACGAAUGGUUUGUGUGCAAAUAGUGCAUAGACAUGACGGUACCGGAAUAGAAAGCCACGGCUAACUACGUGCCAGCAGCCGCGGUAAUACGUAGGUGGCAAGCGUUGUCCGGAAUUAUUGGGCGUAAAGCGCGCGCAGGCGGACUAGCCAGUCAGUCUUAAAAGUUCGGGGCUUAACCCCGUGAUGGGAUUGAAACUACUAGUCUAGAGUAUCGGAGAGGAAAGUGGAAUUACUAGUGUAGCGGUGAAAUGCGUAGAUAUUAGGAAGAACACCAGUGGCGAAGGCGACUUUCUGGACGAACACUGACGCUGAGGCGCGAAAGCCAGGGGAGCGAACGGG